ACUCGAAAGGUGGAGACUUUGGUCCAGCAGGUUCAUGGGUUCCGGGCCGAAAGAUUGGAUUUGGACGGGAGGUGUUCGACGAAAUGCCUGAGCAUGGCUGUGAUUAAUGCGUAUAUGAAAGGUGGAGACUUUGGAGUUGUUUGGUCAGAUGGUAGAGAUCAGUAUAAGCUGGGAUUCGAUGAUUGCUAGCUGGUCAGUUUUGGAUGAGCUUAAUUUGAGGUGCUCGGAUACAUGGAAUGUCGAAAUAGGUAAAAAAGAGAGGUGUCAGAAGGAUCGAGGAUGCAGUAGCAUAGAGGACAGAGGACAUUUUACUGGAUGAAGUGAUUUUGAUACAAGAAGCUUCUACAACGAGAUUACAUCAGAACUUGUUUCGGAAAACAAAAUACAUCUGAACUUCCAAGGAAACAAACUGCACAAAAUCAAG